AAGCUGAGGCCUGAGACUUUUAGCAGGGCCAUCUUAUGCCUCUUGAAUUGCCUGAUCUGCUUGCACUGCCUCUUGAGGAUGGAGAUCUGAAUGAAGCUGCUUGCAUUCAGAUUGCAAUCCACCCUCCUUUAAAACUCCUUUUUGAGAGGAGCACGCGUUAAAUAUUUUUAGGGCCAGCACUGUGAGGUUGGCUCAGCUUCCAGAAACACUUUCCAAAGCUUGUUGUCCAGAAUAGUGUGCUCUAAAAAUGCACUGCGUUCCCCCUGCACAAGUUGGUCCGACCUACUGUGACAGUACAACAGGGUUUUUCUUUCAGCUCAGAUGAGAUGCAUAUUCAGAUCUGUACUAGUUGCACAGUGAAACAGCUUUCUUUUCUUCCCUGUUCCCUGUUUUGCACCUCCAGUGCCUGUCUCUGUGCUAGAUGAGAGCCUGUGGGGAGUUCAGGGAGUGCAGGUCUGGGCCGUGUAUCACCCUGUCACCGGGACCAAGCUGGGAGAGUGGGUACAGAGACAUGAGCUUUCAAUACCUGCAAAUUUCCAUCUGGCUUGUUAGGAGCACUUCUCAUGAAGGGGAUUAUGAAAAGUUGGAGAUGCUACAGGUAAGCAUCCAAACAGUAAUCCUGGCUUCCACAAUGAGGCAGUGUGUUUUGUGUAGUAAGAGCUGCAGGAACAGGACUCAUGAGUGACAGAGCAAAAAAUCAGUGAUUGCUGUUUGGCAGGAGAUACUUAAACUUUGUCAAGCUAGGCAAGUAUCUCCAUUGUGGUCUCUGACUCACAAUUAAAGUAUGCUGGGAACAUUUGAGGGGGCUGGGUCAGUUCUUUAAGCAGUGGGAAAACAAGGCUUUAAUGCAUCACGGCAUAACUUUGGGUCUGUGCUCUACUGUUCUGCUUUUCUUUGAGGAAACUGGUGUGGCUGGCGGUAGGGAGAGGGAGGUGUUGUGAAACCGCACACACACACACACUCACAUGUGAUUUUAAUCCCUCCUAACAGUGUUUCAGGCUCAUUUGACUGUGGUGGCUGAGCUGAACCACUUCUGACUUGCCCUCCUGAAGGUGAACGGAGGACAAGGCUGUGCGGUGGGGCUGGUGACAACUCGGUUUUAACCUCUGCUGCAGCAGACUGGCUGAGGUAUGCAACACAGAGGAGCUGGUGGAGGGGCUCACCAGCCC
rnacentral:lncRNA from 12 species